rnacentral:rRNA from 1 species
AUUGAACGCUGGCGGCAGGCCUAACACAUGCAAGUCGAACGAGUGGCGGACGGGUGCGUAAUGUCUGGGAAACUGCCCGAUGGAGGGGGAUAACUACUGGAAACGGUAGCUAAUACCGCAUACCAUCGGAUGUGCCCAGAUGGGAGUAGCUUGUAGGUGAGGUAACGGCUCACCUAGGCGACGUUCCCUAGCUGGGCUGAGAGGAUGACCAGCCAAACUGGAACUGAGACACGGUCGAGACUCCGACGGGAGGCAGCAGUGGGGAAUAGGGCACAAUGGGAGCAAGCCUGAUGCAGCCAGGCCGGGGGUAUGAAGAAGGCCUUCGGGUUGUAAAGUACUUUCAGCGGGGAGGCGUUACCCGCAGAAGAAGCACAGGCUAACUCCGUGCCAGCAGCCGCGGUAAUAC